UUGCAAUUUAAUUUUUCAGCCCUUUAUUUUCCUUGCAAUUUCCAUUCAACUAUUUUAUUUUUCAUUGCUUUGUUUCGCUUUUGGAUUGUUAUUUUUUCUGUCUUAUUGUAUUCUUGCCUUUUGCUUUGAGUCAUAUGUUCAUUAGUGUUCUAGGAGUCCUUACUUUGAUUCUACUUACUUUUCUUUUAAUUUUGAAAAUUUGAGAAGUAAUUAGAAACUUGUUUUAGUAGAAGUAGAUUUAAGUUCCAAACAAAAGAUUUCAAGUGUUCAAUUAUAUUGAAUCCCAAAAUUUUUGUGAAAAUUGGAGUUAUUGGAAAUUAUGCAUGAUCAAAACUAUGGACAUUUCAUUUCCAUAAUUCAAAAACUAGUAUAAAAAAGGGAGAAAAGUGGAAACGCAAAUUUAUGGUAUCAAUUUUUAAAGAAAACCAUUUUCCAAAUUUGGAUUGAACUUGAUUGGCAUAUUGAUUUCAACCAUUGUGGAAUUUUUAUCCUUUUGCUUUAGCAAUUUCUAAAGAAAAAGUUUCAUUGUUAAAAGUUUAGUAAGUAUCUUUGAGUCCUUUUUGUGUGCCUUUUCUUGAUUGUCUUUCUUCAAGUUUUGUCAUAAUCUCUUUCUCAAAAUUUGGUUUAGCUUUUCUUGCUUAAGCUUUUUUUGUUUGUCUUUUAUUUUAUUUUCUUAAGUUUUGUGGUGGUUUCCUUUAAGAUCAAGUGUUUAAGGCUUUGACCUUUUUCAUUUGAGAGUAUCUCAACCGCAAGAAAGACCUUUUGUGAAGUGGAAGAAUUUCUUUGAAGUGCUUUGAGUGUUCUCUUCUUGAACUUCACCAAAAGUGACGCCAACGUGAGGAAUGUUUAAAUUGUUUUCACUAAUUGUUUGUUCCUUUGUGCAAAAAUUAUGGGUCAUUUGUCUUUAGAAAUCAUAUCACAAAGCCCACUUUUUGGGAGAACUUGUGGAGGUCAAGAAGCGACUUGUCCACAAAGACGAGAAAAUAAGCCAGCUAGCGAAAAGAUUGCAAAGACUAGAAGAAGCUCAAGCAAGGCAAAAUCAAGAAAGGAGAUUGGAGCCGCCAAGAGCACCUAGACCAUCCAUGCACUAUGGGAGUCAAGAACAUGAUUGGCAAGUGCACACUUUUGCAAAACGACACCAUCAACACCACCACCAACCACAACAUUCUUUUGAUUUUGUAAAGUUAUCUAGUUUUAAUGGGUCCAAUGACCCUACUUUGUAUUUAGAAUGGGAAGCUAAAGUUGAACAUCUAUUUAAUGUGUAUAAGAUCAUCGAGGACCAAAAGGUUAGGUUAGCUUCCCUAGUUUUUUUAGACUAUGCCAACCAAUGGUGGCAACAAACUGUAAUGGACAUUGGGCUAAACAAGAGGCCAACCAUGGUCUCUUGGUAUGAUUUGAAAGCAUGUGUGCAUGCGUGGUUUGUUCCUCCUCCUUAUAGGAAGGAACUCUUGUUGAAGCUCCAACGACUUCAUCAAGGACCUAGGACGGUAGAUGAAUACUUUAAAGACUUAGAAACAACUUUGACUAAAAUUAAUAUGCAUGAUAAUGAAGAGUCAAAGAUAGCUAGGUUUGUAAGUGGUUUGAGGAGAGAAAUUCAAGAUAUUGUAGAAAUAUGAGUACUCUUCUUUAAAGAAAGUGGUUCACCUAGCCAUCAAGGUGGAAUCACAACUUUUGAAGAAAACAACUUUUCUAAAAUACUCAUAAUGAUGGCUUCUACAAAUUUUCAUGGAAGGAUACAAACAAAAAUUCUACAAAAACUUCUCCUUCCAAUUUUUCAAAAGAAAUCACUUCUCACCAAAAAGUUUCUAAACACAGUCCUUCUACAUCUACCCCUAAGUCACCCACCAAACCUUCAAGCACAAAAUGUUUUAAAUGUUUAAAUAAAAGAACCACAAUGUUACACGAAGUGAAUCAAUACCAAAUUAAAACAAAAGCUAAAAAAGAAAAUGAAAAAGAAGAGGAAAGUAAAGUGGGUCUCAUCUUGUUAUCUCCUACGAAAAUCACUACACCUCCUAGGUAUAAUUCUUCCUUCUCUUUUUCAUUUUCGAAUAAUUCUAAAUACUUGACAUAUUUGUUAAAGAAGUUUAGGGAUGACCUUCAAAAACCUCCUAAAGGUUAUCCACUUCUAAGAGGAUUUUCACAAACAAACCAUCUCUUCCCUAAACAUUCUCUACAACCGUGCCAUGUAUCUAAAAUUCACCCAUGUGAAAUCCCCAAACUUCAUGAGCAUAAGUUUAUUUCACAUCCUAAAAUUUGAAAUAUCUUCUCUGGAAACAAACUAACUAUGUUAUUUGCAGGAGUUCUAAUUCGAGGAUGAAUUCUUUCCAACCUGGGGGGGCAUGAUACAAACCAAAGCAACCAACAAAUGACUAAGGACACAUCAAGCACCUCACAAAAAGGUCAAUCAUCUCAGUAUACAAAGUCGGGUCCCACCAAACCUCAAGAAAGCAUCAGCGGAAGAAGUUAUAAACCACAAUAUCAGAAGUCUUCCUUCUGGUCUUUUACACAAGAGAAAAGUUAUGUAAAUAAAUUGAGCUCACUUUAGGAGUCCAAAUAACAAAGAUAGGCUAAAAUAAGGUACCAUUAGCAUAAUAGGGGGUGUGUGUAGCAUUUUAGCUUAUUCCUAGCCCUUUUGGAAGGCAUUUUGACCUAGUUUUUAGAAGAACAAGUCUAGUCAAACCCUUGAGCUGCCCAUUUUUUCCCUUUUCCCAUCCUACCCCUUUAGCUUGUUCUCCAAGGUUCCUUCACCUAUAAAUAGGAGGCCUACCUAGUGUAUUUUACAAGUUGAAAUUAAUAGAAGAAGAGUUACUUUGCACAAAUUGUGUGAGGUUGUACUGAGGUUUGAAUUCCUCUUAGCAUUUAGGUCUUAUCUUGUGAGUAUUGAGAGUUCUUAAGUGGCGAUUAUCUUCACUUACCUUGGAGGCCAAUCACACUCCAAGUGGCGUGUUCCACUUCUCAAAUCCAUCACAUGAGUUUUCUCCUUCCUUCAUCUAUUCUUCCAUUGUCAUUCCAU
rnacentral:lncRNA from 1 species